rnacentral:rRNA from 1 species
CAGCGCCGCGGUAAUACGGAGGGGGCUAGCGUUGUUCGGAAUUACUGGGCGUAAAGCGCACGUAGGCGGCUUGGUAAGUUAGAGGUGAAAGCCUGGAGCUCAGCUCCAGAAUUGCCUUUAAGACUGCCGAGCUAGCAGGUGAGAGAGGUAAGUGGAAUUCCGAGUGUAGAGGUGAAAUUCGUAGAUAUUCGGAAGAACACCAGUGGCGAAGGCGGCUUACUGGCUCAUACUGGACGCUGAGGUGCGAAAGCGUGGGGAGCAAACAGGAUUAGAUACCCCGGUAGUCCCUGUCUCUUAUACC